UGUGUGCUUGAAAUAGGAUUUACAGGCAAGUGAGCUUACAAAACUCCAUUUGGGCUUCACUAUUGAUAAUUAUGUAUGCUAAUCUUUCAGGAUUGGAUCAAAGAAAUGACAACUUAUGUUAAAUCCAUAGACAGUAAUCAUCUAUUGGAGGUGGGGAUUGAAGGAUUCUAUGGCGAAUCGAUGCCCGACAGGAAGCAAUUUAAUCCUGGUUACCAAAUUGGAACGGAUUUCAUCUCGAAUAACCAGAUUCUAGGAAUCGACUUCGUGACGAUUCAUGCCUACCCAGAUCAAUGGUCAUUAAUGAAGCUCUCAGAUGUGGGAACAUAGUCAAGUUUGUGCACCAAAAGGCCCUCAAGGAUGUCAGAUUUAAAGGUACACCAUCUACUUAUGGUGGACCUUUUUUGUAUAUAUGUUUAUAGAAUCAUGCAUGCAAGAGCACAUUUAUUAUAAUGUUUCCACAAUUUGUAUUAAGAAACUAAAUUUCUUGUGGAUGGAAGGUCCUCCCAGUUUUCAGUGCUAUACAUCUAGACAGGAGCUUGAAAGUCCAGGAGAGGGCAAAUAGAUGGAUUUGUUUUUAUU